UCAGGCGUAGCCAAGUGGUAAGGCAAUGGGUUUUGGCCCCACUACUCGGAGGUUCGAAUCCUUCCGCCUGAGC
rnacentral:tRNA from 1 species